rnacentral:rRNA from 1 species
UCAAACUGGGAUUAGAUACCCCACUAUUCUUAGAAAUAAAUAGACUCUUAUCUACCAGAGUACUACGAACUACUAAUUUAAAACUCAAAGAACUUGGCGGUGCCUUAGACCCCUCAGGGGAACCUGUUUCAUAAUCGACAAUCCACGUUACACCUUACCUUUCUUUGAUAGUCAGUAUGUAUACCGUCGUCGUCAGGUAACUUUUUAAAAUAAAGAAGUUAACAAAAAAGAAUUUACCUUUUACGUCAGAUCAAGGUGCAGCCAAUAGAAAGGAGAAAAUGGGUUACAAUUAAAACUUAUAAUACGAAAAAAAAACUUAAAUUUUUAUUGAAGGAGGACUUGAAAGUAAGUUAAAACUACAAAAAUUAUCUGAAUCAUCAAAAUGGCUCUUAGGCGUGCACACACCGCCCGUCACCCUCUGCAGUCAA